CCUACGGGAGGCAGCAGUGGGGAAUAUUGCACAAUGGGGGAAACCCUGAUGCAGCAACGCCGCGUGAGUGAAGAAGUAUUUCGGUAUGUAAAGCUCUAUCAGCAGGGAAGAAAAUGACAGUACCUGACUAAGAAGCCCCGGCUAACUACGUGCCAGCAGCCGCGGGAAUACGUAGGGGGCAAGCGGUAUCCGGAUUUACUGGGUGUAAAGGUAGCGUAGACGGCUGCGCAAGUCAGAAGUGAAAGCCCGGGGCUCAACCGCGGGACUGCUUUUGAAACUGUGUAGCUAGAGUGCAGGAGAGGUAAGUGGAAUUCCUAGUGUAGCGGUGAAAUGCGUAGAGAUUAGGAGGAACACCGGUGGCGAAGGCGGCUUACUGGACUGUAACUGACGUUGAGGCUCGAAAGCGUGGGGAGCAAACAGGAUUAGAUACCCUUGUAGUC
rnacentral:rRNA from 1 species